CAACGGUAUUCCUUACACAUGCAAGUCGAACGGCAGCACGGACUUCGGUCUGGUGGCGAGUGGCGAACGGGUGAGUAAUGUAUCGGAACGUGCCUAGUAGCGUGGGAUAACUACCGCGAAAGCGUAGCUAAUACCGCAUACGCCCUACGGGGAAAGCAGGGGAUCGCAAGCCUUGCACUAUUAGAGCGGCCGAUAUCGGAUUAGCUAGUUGGUGGGGUAACGGCUCACCAAGGCGACGAUCCGUAGCUGGUUUGAGAGGACGACCAGCCACACUGGGAUUGAGACACGGCCCAGACUCCUACGGGAGGCAGCAGUGGGGAAUUUUGGACAAUGGGGGAAACCCUGAUCCAGCCAUCCCGCGUGUGCGAUGAAGGCCUUCGGGUUGUAAAGCACUUUUGGCAGGAAAGAAACGUCAUGGGCUAAUACCCCGUGAAACUGACGGUACCUGCAGAAUAAGCACCGGCUAACUACGUGCCAGCAGCCGCGGUAAUACGUAGGGUGCAAGCGUUAAUCGGAAUUACUGGGCGUAAAGCGUGCGCAGGCGGUUCGGAAAGAAAGAUGUGAAAUCCCAGAGCUUAACUUUGGAACUGCAUUUUUAACUACCGAGCUAGAGUGUGUCAGAGGGAGGUGGAAUUCCGCGUGUAGCAGUGAAAUGCGUAGAUAUGCGGAGGAACACCGAUGGCGAAGGCAGCCUCCUGGGAUAACACUGACGGCUCAUGCACGA
rnacentral:rRNA from 1 species